rnacentral:rRNA from 1 species
AUGGUGGGCAUGGGUCGAGAGCGCUCUGAGGCUCCUUCCUCGGCGCGUGGUGGUAGGGGUAGUUCCAUUCCACCUCAGACCCUCUGGAGAGCGCUAGAUCUCAGUAUGCAGACACCACCGGCGGUCGCUUCUUCUUUGGCCAGGAGAGGUCGGCGGGGGAAGAAGAAGGAGAAUGCUAGUAGAGGUGGACGUGGUAGCGGGAGAGGUAGGAAGGCUGCCACUAUGCCUUCCUCGCCGCCACCCUCACCUGAUUCACCUGACCACAGGACUUCUCCGUCUGAGAUGGAGCCGCCUGAGGUGGACCCGUCUCGGACCCCGGUCCACGAGCCUCAGGCCGACGAGCCUCGGGCCGACGAGCCUUCGCCCCACGAGACUCCGGUCCCAGAGGCUCCGUCCCACGAGACUCUGGAUCAGGCUACGUCACAGCCGAACCGAUUGGGGGAAUGGCCGGAGUCGAGUGGCCAUGCUGAUGGUGACAAGGGUGGCUAUAGUUCUGAUAGCUAUAGUGAGAGUGAGCUGGUUGAGGGGGGCAAUGUCUACCAGCGUGGUGGUACAAAGCUACCGCCCACCCCGGCGACCCCUGACCAGAGGUGGUUGAUUACGCCUGAUGGGGAGAAGUCUUGGAAGCACGGUCGUGGUGUCCGCAGGCCCAACACAGUCCUUGGUGUGAUUUGUCGCCAGAGCUUCCCGGGAUGGGUCACGUUGCCCGGUGAGGGCCAGGUUCCAGAGCUAGGAAUGACCUGGGAGCACUACUUGGCAGCCCCGGCCCCGCCGGGGGAGAGGAUCGGCGGUGUUGAGUGCCACACGGUGGCCGACGUUGUGAUCCUGACGUUUUGGACCUUUUAUAGGUGUGCUGAGGGACAGGAGGAGGCCGCGACUCGGGUUAUCGAAGCCGAGUGCAGGCGGCUACUUCAAAACUGGCGGAACGGGGCUCGGACGCAGGCUACUCGAGACUACUUCACCUCGAUUGGUAUUAGGAUGUCCAAGUCGAAGUGCCGCACAAAGUAUCUGAGUAAGGAGAAGUACAUGAAGGUGCCCCCGAGAUGGGGUGCGGAUAGGCUGGAUUGUUGGGAGGCGUUGGUGGAUGAGUGGUGCUCUCCCCAAUGGCUAUCCACCCACAACAAUGCAAAGGAUCGGCGUGGCAAAAUGAGCGGUGUGCCACACCAUCAAGGCAGCGUCAACCUAUAUCAGUACGGGGAUAACUGGGUGCGGCACAACGAGACGGAUGUGCCAGAGCUGUUCGACCUCUAUUCCAUGGCCCAUAGUGCCCCGUAUAAGAAGGCCAAGGCAUUCUCUGAGUCUGAUCUUGAUGAUCCAAAGAACUUCACCAACCGCGCCUCCCACAACAAGCUCGUGAGGUAUAGAGACGAGGGGAAGGCGAGGAAAGGGCCGGACUUUAACCCGAGCCAGCCUAUUGAUCUAGAGCUGGUGAUGAUAUCUGGUGGCGGGAGGAACCCUGGCUUGUUAGCCAUUGGGGAUGGACUGAUACGUUGUACUAGCACUCUCCCGCAGAUCAAGAGGCGCCAGACGAGCUCCGAUCCUGAGAUAAGACCUCGUCCACGGCCAAUGGAUCUUGAAAUCAAGGCUGCUAUUGAGGAAGAGAGAGCAAAGACCCAGGAGCUUCUGGCGGAGGAAAGGAGGCAUGCGGCGGAGAGGGAGAGGGAGAUUGAGGAGAGGACGGCUAGGCUUUUGGAGGAGGAGAGGAACCGGAACGACUUGGCUAACCGGGCCAUAUACGAGCUCUUCGCGUCCAUGUGCGAGAAGAACGGUCAGACCCCUCCGCCGAUGCCAGUCAUUGCUCCGGCGGACACUCAUAACUCCCGACAAGCAUCGACGUCUGCCAUUGGCGCGAGCAAGAACCCCGAUCCUCCUCCGUCUGCCACAACCGCGAGCAAGAACCACGAUCCUUCACCUACGGGUUGA